CAGGAUAUAGCUCAGUGGUAGAGUACUUGCUUAACAUGCAGGAGGCCCUGGGUUAGAUACCCAGUGCUUUCA
rnacentral:tRNA from 1 species